AGGACGAACGCUGGCGGCGUGCCUAACACAUGCAAGUCGAACGGGGCCCGCAAGGGUUCAGUGGCGAACGGGUGCGUAACACGUGAAGAAUUUGUCCAACUGCGGGGGAUAGCCGGCCCAACGGCCGGGUAAUACCGCGUACGACCUUCGGGGGGCAUCCCCUGAUGGUGAAAGCCGCAAGGCGCCGAUGGAGAACUUCGCGGCCUAUCAGCUAGUUGGUGAGGUCAUGGCUCACCAAGGCGACGACGGGUAGCUGGUCCGAGAGGAUGACCAGCCACAUUGGGACUGAGACACGGCCCAGACUCCUACGGGAGGCAGCAGUGGGGAAUAUUGCGCAAUGGGCGAAAGCCUGACGCAGCGACGCCGCGUGUGGGAUGACGG
rnacentral:rRNA from 1 species